CUACGUAGGGAGCGAGCGUUGUCCGGAAUUACUGGGCGUAAAGGGCGCGUAGGCGGCGCUUCAAGUCGUCUGUCAAAUGGGAGGGCUUAACCCUUUUUCGCAGACGAAACUGGAGAGCUUGAGAAGCAGAGAGGCAAACAGAAUUCCUGGUGUAGCGGUGAAAUGCGUAGAUAUCAGGAAGAAUACCAGUGGCGAAGGCGGUUUGCUGGCUGCAUACUGACGCUGAAGCGCGAAAGCCAGGGGAGCAAACGGGAUUAGAUACCCCGGUAGUCCUGGCAGUAAACGAUGUAUGCUGGGUGUGAGACUAGCGAUAGUUUCGUGCCGAAGUUAACGCGAUAAGCAUACCGCCUGGGGAGUACGGUCGCAAGAUUGAAACUCAAAUGAAUUGACGGGG
rnacentral:rRNA from 1 species